CCCCAAUCAUUCAGAAGACACAUGAGCUCAUUUGGCUACCCCUCGAUGGUAGCAAUACAAGGAUCUGUGAUGCUUACGAGACUACAGGUGUGGAUGUGGAGAAAUUUGUUAUGUGAAGAUAAGCUGCACAUGCCAUUCACUGUUGGCAAAUGUAAAGUAAUGAGGUGUCAAUUUCAAUGUGUCACCAACUGUGACACAUACAAGAAGCAUUGUGGUUGCAGUGCCUACGUGGAGGAAGCAGAAAUUUCAACAAUUCCAGUUCGCAAAAUUCAACAAU